rnacentral:rRNA from 1 species
AGAGUUUGAUCCUGGCUCAGAUUGAACGCUGGCGGCAGGCCUAACACAUGCAAGUCGAACGGUAACAGGAAGCAGCUUGCUGCUUCGCUGACGAGUGGCGGACGGGUGAGUAAUGUCUGGGAAACUGCCUGAUGGAGGGGGAUAACUACUGGAAACGAUAGCUAAUACCGCAUAACGUCGCAAGACCAAAGAGGGGGACCUUAGGGCCUCUUGCCAUCGGAUGUGCCCAGAUGGGAUUAGCUAGUAGGUGGGGUAACGGCUCACCUAGGCGACGAUCCCUAGCUGGUCUGAGAGGAUGACCAGCCACACUGGAACUGAGACACGGUCCAGACUCCUACGGGAGGCAGCAGUGGGGAAUAUUGCACAAUGGGCGCAAGCCUGAUGCAGCCAUGCCGCGUGUAUGAAGAAGGCCUUCGGGUUGUAAAGUACUUUCAGCGGGGAGGAAGGGAGUAAAGUUAA